UGGGGAAUUUUGGACAAUGGGCGCAAGCCUGAUCCAGCCAUGCCGCGUGGGUGAAGAAGGCCUUCGGGUUGUAAAGCCCUUUUGUCCGGAAAGAAAAGUUCUGGGUUAAUAGCCCAGGAUCAUGACGGUACCGGAAGAAUAAGCACCGGCUAACUUCGUGCCAGCAGCCGCGGUAAUACGAAGGGUGCAAGCGUUACUCGGAAUUACUGGGCGUAAAGCGUGCGUAGGUGGUGGUUUAAGUCAGAUGUGAAAUCCCGAGGCUCAACCUCGGGCCUGCAGUGGGUACGGGCAGACUAGAGUGCGGUAGGGGAGAUUGGAAUUCCCGGUGUAGCGGUGAAAUGCGUAGAGAUCGGGAGGAACACCAGUGGCGAAGGCGGCUACCUAGACCAGCACUGACACUGAGUCACGAAAGCUUGGGGAGCAAACA
rnacentral:rRNA from 1 species